rnacentral:misc_RNA from 1 species
UGGCUCCGGCAUCGAUGAAGAACGCAGCGAAACGCGAUAGGUAGUGUGAAUUGCAGAAUCCAGUGAAUCAUCGAAUCUUUGAACGCACAUUGCACCCGGCGGUAUUCCGCCGGGUAUGCCCGUCCGAGUGUCAUUUCUAACCCUCGGGCACCUAAGUCCCGGCGUUGGGGGGCCGCGCCUACGCAGCGCCCCCUUGAACCUAGCGGCGGCACGACCGUGCCUCUAGCGUGUAGUAUAUAAACCUAUUCACUCUGGAGGCACGGCCUUGCCCGUCUUGCGCCUAUCUUUGCAGGUUGACCUCGGAUCGGGUAGGGAUACCCGCUGA